rnacentral:tRNA from 1 species
GCCUGGCUGGCUCAGUCAGUAGAGCAUGCGAUGCUCGGUCUCAAGGUCGUGGGUUCGAGCCCCAUGUUGAGCC